AAUAGAUACCCCGGUAGUCCACGCCGUAAACGAUGAGUGCUAGGUGUUAGGGGGUUUCCACCCCUUAGUGCUGCAGCUAACGCAUUAAGCACUCCGCCUGGGGAGUACGGUCGCAAGACUGAAACUCAAAGGAAUUGACGGGGGCCCGCACAAGCGGUGGAGCAUGUGGUUUAAUUCGAAGCAACGCGAAGAACCUUACCAGGUCUUGACAUCCCGCUGACCGCCAUGGAGACAUGGCUUUCCCUUCGGGGACAGCGGUGACAGGUGGUGCAUGGUUGUCGUCAGCUCGUGUCGUGAGAUGUUGGGUUAAGUCCCGCAACGAGCGCAACCCUUGUCCUUAGUUGCCAUCAUUCAGUUGGGCACUCUAAGGAGACUGCCGUACAAAUACGGAGGAAGGUGGGGAUGACGUCAAAUCAUCAUGCCCCUUAUGACCUGGGCUACACACGUGCUACAAUGGGCAGUACAAAGGGCUGCGAACCCGCGAGGGGGGUAGCGAAUCCCAAAAAGCUGCUCUCAGUUCGGAUUGCAGG
rnacentral:rRNA from 1 species